UAUCCAACCUGCCCUUUACUCGGGGAUAGCCUUUCGAAAGAAAGAUUAAUACCCGAUAGCAUAAUGAUUCCGCAUGGUUUCAUUAUUAAAGGAUUCCGGUAAAGGAUGGGGAUGCGUUCCAUUAGGUUGUUGGUGAGGUAACGGCUCACCAAGCCUUCGAUGGAUAGGGGUUCUGAGAGGAAGGUCCCCCACAUUGGAACUGAGACACGGUCCAA
rnacentral:rRNA from 1 species